ACCUCGCUGGCUUGUGGCAAUCUUAUCUUCCCUUCAGCAUGCAACUCUUCAUUCAGAAAGGCCCAUUCAUACACAUUUAACAGAGACAUACACAUAUAUGACAUUCUGGGAUCCCAACAAGAAAUAUUCAGGCCUUGGUUGUUACAUAAGAUGCUAGCAUUAAUUUUACACAUCAAAUCCCUCCCCAUGAGGUUUACCGGACACGCGUCAGAUAAAAGGAACAUAUGCAUAAACUUGUUACCGUCAUGCAUACAACAGAGUGGAGCAGUAAAUUCUUCCCUCACUAUAUGCCCCGUAGCACUCAUAGAUGAGUUAAACUGCCCACUCAAGGUGACAAAUGGGAAUUCAUCUUUGCGUAUGACAGAGUUGAUUGCACCAGAGUCUACCAUAAACAACAAUGCCUGUCCCUCAAACAUUAUUUCUUCGAGAGGCAGUUUAGAGAUGUUGCCUCUCAUUCAGCAUCAAGCAAAGCAAGUUCUUCAUUGCAUAGAGCGUUUCUUUCCCUUUCACACACAUCAGAAAAAACAGAAUUAGCAAGCAGAUAAUAUGGCAUUUGAACCGCAGAAAAAACAAGAUUGGACUUACCCGCCUCCGUACGAUGCUCCCCUUCCCCCUCCUGGCUUCAGUCGGCCCUUUCUUUACACACCGGCAGGUUUCCCGUGCUCCCUUGGGAUUCCGGUGUCCCUUUAGUUUUCAGGAAAUGGAAACAUUGUUUUUCAAAUGUCCUUUCUGUCCGCAAUACCAGCAAACAUUUUCUUUCGGAUCUCCUCUCCUCUUCUCUCAUUCUCUCUGCUGCCCGUUCUCUCGGGAGCGUUGUCCUUGCGAAGAGAAAUUGCGUUGUUAUGUUGUGGCUGUGCCCAUUCUCCUAUCUUGGCAAAAGCUGAAGAUAGCUGUUUCUCUGGUGAACGGCUUCUCUGCUGUUUCCUUAGGCCUUGCCUCCCGUUCCGUCUUUAUCUGAACAUCAUCUUUGUCCUCUUCAAAAGUGCUGUCAAGGAUGUGGAUGAUCUCUGAUUCUGGUCCACGUGGCAGUUCUUGCAUCGGCGGUGGCGGGGGUGCAGAAGGUGGUGCUUGUCGUGCUGGCUGUUGUAUCUGUGCGGCUUGUUGAGCUGGUGGUGGUGGAGGGCGACGUUGUGGAGGGGGUUGGAGGUCAUCGUCCAGAAGCGGUACCCUUGUGAAUUGGAAAUGUACCCCAGGUGGGGUACGUGCAGGUGCAUAGGGAGGAGGGGAAAAAAAAGAAAGUUAGGUUCAUCAUGUAAUGAAUCUGAUGUAGGAAAAACAUUUGCUUAAUGUUUAGCUCUGACUUAGUCUGAGUCAGUUCGUCCUUGGUUCUUAUCUUACUCUGUGCUCUCAUUUCUCUGCCAUCCGCAAUGAUCUUUUCCCUUAAUAAAGUGAGUGCUUUUACACUCAGUGUCCCUUUAGGAGGAAAAUUAUACCUUUUCUCCCAGAUUUUACGCUUUCCAACGCCCCCGUGCCCUUUGAUUUGAUCACUCGAGCAUACACGCCAUUUUCCAGAUCCAUUGACUUUGUACUCCCUUUCGAAUUACCCUGACCCAUGGUCACGAACGAAAUAACGCUUACCAUAUUAUCUAUUCAGAUGCCACCACAACGGUUCUUUUCCAGAUUCCGUCAGCCUUGACUUCAGAACUGGUUGAGACUCUCCCUUCCCUUAGGCCUGGGGUACGGAGCCCGAGACCUCUUGUCUCAGGGGUGAUCAGUCAGUCUCUCCCAAACCUGGAGUCUACAGCUGUGGAAUCCGCAUCCUCGUCGCCAUUAUUGUCGUGGAAUUUUAGCCGCAUCAAAUAAUACUCACUAAGAGUCAAAGUCAAGGAUCACACAGACACACUGUCGACAGAAUUUUCUUUGUCUGAAUUUUAUAUAUUCUGCAGAAUAGGCUCUCACCCCCAUGGUGCAAGAAGUUUAAAAACCUAAGAGCCCCGAUCACAAGGUUGAAGACACAUUUAUAGUAAGAUGCUGAAACACGUACAAUCAUCCGUUUCUACGUCAUUUAGAAGAUAGCCUUCAGUUGUCAGUGAUUAAGAGCAAAGACCGUUAAACAUAAUCAUAAAGGACAGUACAUGCUGGUACAUGAUGUUUAAGUCCUUCCUUGGACAUUGUACUUGCUGAAAAGACAGAAAGAGCAUAAUUCUGUACGUUAGCAGAAAAACAUGAUCUCCAUAUGAAUCACAAUUUGUGAGCUUCAGAUUGUUAUUAAAAAAUGAAAAAUAGGAUGAAAAAUAAAACAUAAUAA